UUAAAAUGAGAGUUUGAUCCUGGCUCAGGACGAACGCUGGCGGCGUGCCUAAUACAUGCAAGUCGAACGAAACUUUCUUACACCGAAUGCUUGCAUUCAUCGUAAGAAGUUGAGUGGCGGACGGGUGAGUAACACGUGGGUAACCUGCCUAAAAGAAGGGGAUAACACUUGGAAACAGGUGCUAAUACCGUAUAUAUCUAAGGAUCGCAUGAUCCUUAGAUGAAAGAUGGUUCUGCUAUCGCUUUUAGAUGGACCCGCGGCGUAUUAACUAGUUGGUGGGGUAACGGCCUACCAAGGUGAUGAUACGUAGCCGAACUGAGAGGUUGAUCGGCCACAUUGGGACUGAGACACGGCCCAAACUCCUACGGGAGGCAGCAGUAGGGAAUCUUCCACAAUGGACGCAAGUCUGAUGGAGCAACGCCGCGUGAGUGAAGAAGGUCUUCGGAUCGUAAAACUCUGUUG
rnacentral:rRNA from 2 species